rnacentral:rRNA from 1 species
UACGAAGGGGGCUAGCGUUGUUCGGAAUUACUGGGCGUAAAGGGCGCGUAGGCUGUGCUGUAAGUCAGGCGUGAAAGCCCCGGGCUCAACCUGGGAAUUGCGCUUGAUACUGCGGCGCUGGAAGGUGGGAGAGGAUGGCGGAAUUCCCAGUGUAGAGGUGAAAUUCGUAGAUAUUGGGAAGAACACCGGUGGCGAAGGCGGCCAUCUGGCCCAUUUUUGACGCUGAGAAGCGAAAGCAUGGGGAGCGAACAGG